UUAUGGCCAUGCCAUGUUGAAACACCAGUUCUCAUGCAAUCAGUGAAGUUAAGCAACAUCGAGCUUGGUCAGUACCUAGAUGGGUGACUGUUUGGGAAUACUAGGUGG